AACGUAGGUGACAAGCGUUAUCCGGAUUUACUGGGCGUAAAGCGCGUUCAGGCGGUUUGGCAAGUCGGGCAUGAAAUCUCCUGGCUCAACCAGGAGGGCUGUCCGAUACUUCCAGACUUGAGGGCAGUAGAGGGUGGUGGAAUUCCGGGUGUAGUGGUGAAAUGCGUAGAUAUCCGGAGGAGCACCUGUAGGCGAAAGCGGCCGACCUGGACUGCACCUGACGCUGAAACGCGAAAGCUAGGGGAGCGAACGGG
rnacentral:rRNA from 1 species